AGUGAUCCUAAAUCAGACAACGAAGAAGAAGACCAAGGACCUUAUGACAGCGAUGGAAGAGUGGACAGCAAAACAGAUUACUCUGAUGAUGGACAGUACUACUCUGAGUGAACGGACUAAACACCAGCUGGACAUCUUCACACAGUCGCUAGGAGACAAGAAGAAACAGG